CUGCUUUCCUGAUCUUCUAUUCAGGCUCUCUGUUUCCACUUUGGAGAUUUUCCACCCUCAGACGUAACCAGAUCCAUCUUCUGAAUCAACUACAAGACAAUACAAUGAGGUUAUUUUGUUGAACAUGUAAAAGUAAAUAAAGUUCUGUUUAAAUCUA